GUCGGACCUUCUACCUGGGCAGGUGUGGAUGGACAACAUGGAACAUUUGGGGACGACUGGAGAGAUAUGUCUUGGCCUGUUCGAAAAGAUGAGGGAAUGCAGCUGCUGCCGGUUCCAUAAAUCCAAAGGGUCAUGUCGUCUGGACAGAACAUCUGGAGUGGACGCGGCCAUGAUGGUUUCAAGACUUCACCUGAAGAACAGGAACUUCCCAAUAACACCCUAACAUCAGGAGGCCAUGAUUUCCAAGACUUCACCAGAAGAAGAGGAACUUGGCCCCAAAGAACAUCAGGAGGAGACACGGCCAUGAUGGAUUCACCCAAAGAACAGGAACUAGAUUAUCAGGAGGAGACAUGGCCAUGAUGGUUUCUAAGACUUCACCUGAAGAACAGGAACUUCUCAAGAACACCCUGAAGGAGGAGAUGGUUUCCAGGACUUCACGCAAGGAGGAGGAUCUUCGCGCGACAGAAACCACGGGGAGGACACGGCCCCCCCCGCGCCUGCUACCACAGGAACCCUUGGAUGAUCCAGGCUCCGACAACGAGUGGGAUUCGAACCAAUCUCCUGCGACUUCCAGUCGCGGUUGAACCACCACACGCCACCGAGAACCCUUCACACUUAACUCUCUUCUCUGUGCGCUUUUGUCAUUGUCACUUUGGAAUCUGGACUUCAAAAGCAACUGUCAUAAGAUUUGAACCCAUGACUCUAGACCCAUCAAACACACUUCUAACAGCCUGAGCUAUUUGUCGUGGAGUUCUGUAUCUUUCUUAGAGUCUUUCAGUCUUAAGUUUGAGUAGAGGACUUCAAAAGUCACCGACUUUCAUAAGAUUCGAACCUAGGUCUUAAGCUUCACCAAACACUCUUCUGACAGCCUGAGCUAUUUGUCAUGGAGUUCUGGUUCUUUCUUAGAGUCUUUCAGUCUUUAGUUUUUGUAGAAAAAUUCAAAAGUCAUUCACUAUCAUAAGAUUUGAACCUAUGCCGUAAGCCUCAUCAGACACUCGUCUAACAGCCUGAGCUAUUUGUCAUGGAGUUCUGUUUCUUUCUUAGAUUCUUUCAGUCUUUAGUUUGAUUGGAAUACUUAAAAAGUCAUUGACUGUCAUAAGAUUCGAACCCAUGACUUUAGACCUACCAAACGCUCUUCUCUUCUAACAGCCUUAGCUAUUUGUUGUGGAGUUUUGGUUCUUUCUUAGAGUCUUUCAGUCUUUAGUUUGAUUAGAGUACUUAAAAGGUCAUUGACUGUCAUAAGAUUUGAACCUAUGUCUUAAGCCUCACCAAACACUCUUCAAACAGCCUGAGCUAUUUGUCCUGGUAUUCUGUAUCUUUCUUAGAUUCUUUCAGUCUUUAGCUUGAUUAGCAUACUUAAAAAGUCAUUGACUGUCAUAAGAUUUGAACUCAUGACUUUAGUUCCAUCAAACGCUCUUCUCUUUUAACAGCCUGAGCUAUUUGUCGUGGAGUUCUGGUUCUUUCUUAGAGUCUUUCAAUCUUUAGUUUGUGUAGAAGAAUUCAAAAGUCAUUGGCUGUCAUAACAUUUGAACCUUUGUCUUUAGGCACGUCAAACACUCUUCUAACAGCCUGAGCUGAGCUAUCUGACCACUCAUGUUCUCAUGCUUUCUUAGAGCUAUUCUGUUUGUUUGCUUCAUUGGUUGAUUAACUAUAAAAGUUCCUACGAGGCUUGAACCUAUGUCACCAGAACACUUAUGAGCAGACCUAACAUAUUAGGCUACGAGAGAAAAGCUGUUUGGUUCAGAUUAUUUUAAGUUUUUCAGUUUUUCCUCUGGGUAUUGAACAUAAAAACAUUGACACUCUCCAACAACCUGCUAAUCCUUUGAGGAUGACUCUAACCACUUGAGCCACUAAGCCAGAGGCCACAACCCACAUAUUUUUACACCUUUUCAGUCUUUCAUGUUUGUAUUAACAUGUAAAAUGGAUUUCUACAUCCAGGGCUCGAACCCAAACCUUCUGAAACUCGGAGGAAAGACUUAACAUCCUGAGCCACAGCUCCAGACACAUUGACCAUCUCAUUUUUAAAGCAUUUCAGUCUUUCCUCUGUCACUUAGAGAAUAAAAUGUAGAAAGCAGAGCUUUGGAUUUGAUCUGUUGGUUUCAGGUUGUGACUCAGAACCACAGCUGAUCUCACUGAGCUACUCGCAAACACAGACGUUCAGCUUUUGUUGCUGUGUUCAUUGUUCACUUCCCUCAGAAGCAAGAACAGAAAAACCACAGUAGCCUAGAGAUGAACCGAAGACCUAAGGGAUUUAGUCGGGAUAUGUUGGUUAUCCUGGAUUAACUUAACCAUGAUCCGGUUGCUCGAAAACAUGGAGAUUUAUUCCGUGGAGCUUGGCUGCUCCAGACCAGGAUAACAUCCAGGAUCUAUUUAAUCUCAGUCACCACAAAUGGAAACCAAUAUUUAUUCCACUGCCCACUACACAUUGUUAUCACAUUCAACUAGACCCACUGUCAUUAUUUAAACAUCUGUCAUCAUCAUUAAGUGGCAUCAUUUUAGAUGAUUUUGAAAUUAGUAGAUAGUUUAGUUUCCCAUACACUAUAAAUAAAAUACACAUCCCAUAGAAAUAUAAAUACACAUCAAAGAGUAACAUGAUGUUCCUUUAUUGAAUAAGGACAAAUCAAAGCAAGUAAACUGAAGUCACACAGUGCUCCACAAGAUAGAAAGAACAGAAUCAAAGCAUAUUAUACAACACACAAAUAAAUGCAGGACAAAUCCAUAUUUAAAUGAACAGACAAAUUUGAGGCCUGUAUUCAGUAUACAGCACUAUAGGCCACCGUCUGAUGUCACUCUGCGUUCCUUCAGGAGGCCAAAGAUCAUCUCCAUCCAGCACUUGUCCUGGUGGGGACAUUAUUAUAUGUCUGCUGUGCUUCCUGAGGGUCUGAUUAUGGUGUGAGGCCAAAAGGCUGGCAGGCAUAACAUUAUGAUCAAUCAGUGUAGCCCCACACAUGCAGAUCCUGAAUGAAACAGCAGAGGAAUUUGUGAUCGUUUCACAGGCUCUGUUUGACUGAGUGAUGAUUAGUUUCACCUGGUUUGAUGAAUCCGUGUCUGCUCAUCCUGGCUCGGUGUUUGUGCUCGUUGAGCCCAGGCUCAGUCUCCUGAACCCCACAUGGCUCCAUUAUAAUAACUGGGAAAUUUACAACACUGAGAAAAUGAUUGAAUCUGAUCAAAUACAAUUAAAAUGUCAAAUACCACUAGUUUUCUUCUAAAUGAAACGUUAACAUCACGGAAUGCAUGAAAAAAAAGCACAACAAAUGUAUAAAAAUGCGCGAGGGGGUUAAAGAAAGGAAGUUUGUCCUAAGAUUUAUGGAUCAGCAGCCUCAGCACCAGCUUUUCUCUACUGGGUUUCUCUUCUCAGUAAAUGAGUCAUGAAGUCGCUUCGAGUAUCAGUGUUACUGGAUGUGGACACUUGUAGUUACCAGGUAAUGACCACUGGAGGGCAGUGAUGUGAUAAUUUAAAACAACUUUUGGGUUCAUUAAAUCGUUCAGGAUCCGGAGGAACUCUCGGAUUUCUUUGAGCUUCAUCUCUCCUCCUCUUCCUCCUCUGGAUGUUUCGGUCUCCGCGUCGUGGUUUCUUCUCUCCUGCUGCAGGUAAAAACGUUUCUCCGGUUCCUCUCCUUUAGCUGCUGUCGGUGUUUGUGUUGAUCAACAGGCCGCGUUCACCUGCGCAGGUGAGUGUGUUUUCAGAGCGCUGAGCCUCAGACUCUUGAAUUCACUGGUUAAAGAGUCAAAAGAGACUCUGCAGACUGACCUGCUGCUUCCUCUCAGUCCCAGUGUUCACCGCUAAGUCACUGAACUGACUGAAAG